UUGGGAAUAUUGCGCAAUGGACGAAAGUCUGACGCAGCGACACCGCGUGUAGGAAGACGCCUUUCGGGGUGUAAACUACUUUUAUCUGGGAGGAUUAUGACAGUACCAGAUGAAUAAGUGACGGCAAACUACGUGCCAGAAGCCUCGGUGAUACGUAGGUCACAAGCGUUAUCCGGAAUUAUUGGGCGUAAAGCGUGCGUAGGUGGUUUUGAAAGUUUUCUGUUAAAUAUCUGGGCUCAACCCAGAAGUUGCAGGAAAGACUUCAAGACUAGAGGUCAGUAGAGGUGCAUGGAACUCUCGGUGUAGGAGUGAAAUCCGUUGAUAUCGAGGGGAACACCAAUGGCGAAGGCAGUGCACUAGACUGAUUCUGACACUCAGGCACGAAAGCGUGGGUAGCGAAAAGG
rnacentral:rRNA from 1 species